CGUACCAGGUUUCCGUAGGUGACAUGCGGAAGGAUCAUUA
rnacentral:rRNA from 1 species